rnacentral:lncRNA from 1 species
GCGCCUAGCGUCUGGGCAGCGUCAGCCGCUACGUCCACCUUUUCCCUGUCUCUAGGGGUUUCUCCUCGCGCCGCUGUGUUCCAGCGCCGGCUCCGAGCUGGGAGGGUGACUGAGCCCUGAGCUUGGGCCCUCCGAGAGGUGCGUUAGCUCUGGGUCUUCUUGCCCCUACGCCCGAGCCUGGCGUUCUCUCGGCCCCCUCUUAGGAACGCUAGCCCUGGGCAGAAAUUGCCUUUGUGGCUGAAGUCGGCCAGCGUCGCGUUUCCACUCUCCCGCCGAAUCUGGACCCAAGCCAGCCUUCCCUUGUGCAUCGGUAGAUAGCUUGUGUUAAGGCGCCAGCUUCUUGGAACAGAGCUCUCUGCAAAAGUCGCGCUGAAGAAUUCAUAGUCAAAAGCUGAACUUGCAGAAGUUUCUACUUCUGGAAUGAGUGUUGAAAUGAGAUCAAUUCUGACAUUCAGUUUCGCUUUUGGGAUUAUGCCUUGGACUAACUCAGCUACUCUGAUGAGCUAAAGACUGUAGUAUAUUUGAAGGAAGACACGAGGAACUGUUUUGUAUUUUGUAGGGAUAGAACAGGACCUUGAGGAGAUUAUUAUAUGAAGA